rnacentral:lncRNA from 1 species
AAUUUUCCUCCUCUGGAGGAAAGGUGGUGAUUGACAGGCAGGGAGACAGUGACAAGGCUAGAGAAAGCCACGCUCGGCCUUCUCUGAACCAGGAUGGAACGGCAGACCCCUGAAACGAAGCUUGUCCCCUUCCAAUCAGCCACUUCUGAGAACCCCCAUCUAACUUCCUACUGGAAAAGAGGGCCUCCUCAGGAGCAGUCCAAGAGUUUUCAAAGAUAACGUGACAACUACCAUCUAGAGGAAAGGGUGCACCCUCAGCAGAGAAGCCGAGAGCUUAACUCUGGUCGUUUCCAGAGACAACCUGCUGGCUGUCUUGGGAUGCGCCCAGCCUUUGAGAGGCCACUACCCCAUGAACUUCUGCCAUCCACUGGACAUGAAGCUGAGGACACUGGGCUUCAACACUGAGUUGU